rnacentral:rRNA from 1 species
AUUGAACGCUGGCGGCAGGCCUAACACAUGCAAGUCGAGCGGACGUAGCAAUACGUUAGCGGCGGACGGGUGAGGAAUGCAUCGGAACGUGCCGUGUAGUGGGGGAUAACGCAGCGAAAGCUGCGCUAAUACCGCAUACGAUCUAUGGAUGAAAGCGGGGGACCGUAAGGCCUCGCGCGAUUGGAGCGGCCGAUGUCAGAUUAGGUAGUUGGUGGGAUAAAAGCUUACCAAGCCGACGAUCUGUAGCUGGUCUGAGAGGACGACCAGCCACACUGGGACUGAGACACGGCCCAGACUCCUACGGGAGGCAGCAGUGGGGAAUUUUGGACAAUGGGCGAAAGCCUGAUCCAGCAAUGCCGCGUGCAGGAUGAAGGCCUUCGGGUUGUAAACUGCUUUUGUACGGAACGAAAAGGCUCUGGCUAAUACCUGGGGCACCUGACGGUACCGGAAGAAUAAGCACCGGCUAACUUCGUGCCAGCCGCCGCGGUAAGAC